GAUGAACGCUGGCGGCGUGCCUAAUACAUGCAAGUCGAGCGAACAGACGAGGAGCUUGCUCCUCUGACGUUAGCGGCGGACGGGUGAGUAACACGUGGAUAACCUACCUAUAAGACUGGGAUAACUUCGGGAAACCGGAGCUAAUACCGGAUAAUAUAUUGAACCGCAUGGUUCAAUAGUGAAAGACGGUUUUGCUGUCACUUAUAGAUGGAUCCGCGCCGCGUUAGCUAGUUGGUAAGGUAACGGCUUACCAAGGCAACGAUGCGUAGCCGACCUGAGAGGGUGAUCGGCCACACUGGAACUGAGACACGGUCCAGACUCCUACGGGAGGCAGCAGUAGGGAAUCUUCCGCAAUGGGCGAAAGCCUGACGGAGCAACGCCGCGUGAGUGAUGAAGGUCUUCGGAUCGUAAAACUCUGUUAUUAGGGAAGAACAAAUGUGUAAGUAACUAUGCACGUCUUGACGGUACCUAAUCAGAAAGCCACGGCUAACUACGU
rnacentral:rRNA from 1 species